rnacentral:lncRNA from 7 species
GCCACAAUCAAGGCAGAGAAUAAACAGAAGAGGGAGGCAGAGGCUCUAGCAGCACGCAAGAAGUGUCGUCUGGCAAUGAAGAGGGAGAAGAAGGCCGAGCGUAUGGCUCACGCAGGGCCAGGGAGGAGUAUCUCCCCCUACACCAACAAGGAGGAUAAGACCUCCAUGGCCUCUAGUGGAUCUGUGGUCCUGGUGUUGGUGGGGGCCUCAGCUCACCGCGCUGGUGCCACUGCUGAGGCUAGCUCCAACGCUCCGAUCUAGGAGGAGGAACCAACGGUGGAGCCCCUGCGCUUGUGGCGCCGGUUGAGCAUCGCGAUGGGGGAGGGUAACCUGCGGCAGCGUCCUCUGUGCCUGAUGCGUUGACUGGGCGCCAUGAAGGAGGACCACCACAAGCUUCUUUAGGGACGAUUACUUUGUCAUAGAAGAUCCCCUUCAGGCGGGCGCAUUCCUCCAAGUAAGCCAUGUCCCUUUACAAGGUUUUUCAUCCUUGCCUCUAGUUUUUCAUUCGGUUGUCUUGCAAGUGUGUACGUGUCGCAUAAGUCCAUGAAGGACAUAACUCGUAUAGCAAAGGAGGGCACCUCGCCUUCCUAGGCGCUUGUGCCACUACAAGAGCUAUAGUGAUUUUUGGCGGCCAGAAAAAAUUAGCCGAAAAUA